rnacentral:rRNA from 1 species
UGCGUAGGCGGCCUGACAAGUCAGAAGUGAAAGGCUACGGCUCAACCGUGGUAAGCUUUUGAAACUGUCAGGCUUGAGUGCAGGAGAGGAGAGCGGAAUUCCUGGUGUAGCGGUGAAAUGCGUAGAUAUCAGGAAGAACACCAGUAGCGAAGGCGGCUCUCCGGACUGAAACUGACGCUGAGGCACGAAAGCGGUGGGGAGCGAACA